CGUGCCGCUGCGGAGACUGGGCACGGACCUUGCGGUAGACGUCCCCCAGCUCGGGCGCGGCGCAGUCCUCCUGCGGGCCGGGACCAAGCAAGGAGGAGCGGGGCGAGGGCAGCUGCAGCUCGGGGUGACAACGGACCACAGGAAGAUCACACUGCCUCUGGGACUGAAGAAUUCCCUGCUUCUUGUUUUUCUUCUGCAGAACUUGCAAUAUGCCUCAUAUCUACUGUCAGAGCUAAUUAUGUCCAACUCUAGCUACGAACUACUGUACAAGAACAUGUUUUAGAGAAAGCUACAAUGGAAAAAUGGAGUGGCAUUAUUAAAAUAUUUUCAAAAUGAAAA